rnacentral:tRNA from 1 species
GUUUUAAUAAUUUAAUUAAAAUAUUAAUUUUGUAAAUUAAAUAUAAGAAUUAAUUUCUUUUAAAACU